AUACGUAGGGGACAAGCGUUAUCCGGAUUUACUGGGUGUAAAGGGAGCGUAGGCGGCCAGCCAAGUCAGAAGUGAAAUCCCACGGCUCAACUGUGGGCGUGCUUUUGAAACUGGAGGGCUCGAGUACUGGAGGGGCAAGAGGAAUUCCUGGUGUAGCGGUGAAAUGCAUAGAUAACAGGAAGAACACCGGAGGCGAAGGCGGCUUGCUGGACAGAGACUGACGCUGAGGCUCGAAGGCGUGGGGAGCAAACAGGAUUAGAUACCCUGGUAGUCCACGCGGUAAACGAUGAAUGCUAGGUAUUGGGAUCCAUAGGGUCUCGGUGCCGCAGUUAACGCAAUAAGCAUUCCACCUGGGGAGUACGUUCGCAAGAAUGAAACUCAAAUGAAUUGACGGGG
rnacentral:rRNA from 1 species